UUGAUUUGGUGACGGAGACUAAGAACAAAUAUGAAUGGGAUGUGAUAUGAUAAAUGGAUAAGAUGACAGCCUCACUAGAUAUCCUGGUAGAUGGUGGACGGAUCGAGUUUAUAGGGAACCCUACCGUGAACGUUGUCUCAUACCAGACGAGGUAUGGAGACUUGGUUAUUUGGCGCUCAUAUCGGACGGGGUAUGGGGACGGCCCACUUCACCUUCAUAUCGGACGGGGUAUUGAGGUUUAAUGUCUUGGCGCUCAUAUUAGACGGGGUAUGGGGAUGGCCCACUUCACCCUCAUACCAAAUGGGGUAUUGAGCUUUAAUGUCUUGGCGCUCAUAACGAAUGCGGUUCACGUGUAGCGGGGAUACCCCUAUGGAUCUCCAUGGAUACUAGUAGGCCGGUGAAACGAGAAGUGUUGAUGAUCAAUUAUCGUUAAUGAAUACGAAUUCAUGAUAUGUUCUAUGUUAUUGAUUAUGCAUGAAAUUGUGAUCCGCAUGAUAUUAUUGCUUUUAUAAAUUAU
rnacentral:lncRNA from 1 species